rnacentral:ncRNA from 2 species
UCAAUUGUCACGGAAGAGCUCGGAUCGCCAUUUGCGACCGACGCCGAAGGAGCAACCGCCCCGGAAACUCUC